UUUUACAUUGUAAUACACUACCCCUACAUGCCAUUGUGUGCUGGAGCUAUGGGUUUAUUUUUCCACUGUCACUAUGCCUACACAUUCACACUCGAACUGAAUUGAAUGGGAGAUGCAUAACUACUUUUCACUGAAGAAGGGAACGAGUCAACAAGUGAUGAGCCAGAGCAACCAAUCAGCAUCACUGUAGCUGUUCUACCCACCACCCACACUGCUCUCUCUCCACAAGCAACCACAUCCUCUUCUCCUGUUCAACUAAUUUGCUGCCACACUGAAAAGGACUGUACAUACAUACCUCUGUGCCCAUCUCAUUGCAACAUGAUCCAUCCAAGGCCAAAGCUGGACGCCUAAAAUGACCUAGGGGUUCUGCCUAACACCCAAACAUGGAUCCACCCGAUGUCCUCCAUUACCGUCCACCAUCCAACUUUUCAUUACAUCAGCUACUGUUAUUGUCAUGUUGUCAUUAUCUGCUAAGAAAGAUCAAGAAAACUAUCAUACUGGGCACAUAAUGUGAGAUUCACAGAUUAGCUAAAAACAUUAGCACUGCAAACACUCAGAACACAGAGAGCAGCAGCGCCUGGACUUUGCAGUCUCCCUCUUCGAGUCCCUCUUCAGAGACUGACUGCUUGUUGAAAACAAGUGACUGGCAGAACCUCCCAUCCACACAGCACCCACCUCCUCUCUAUUCCACACACCAGAAUUCAGUAUUUCAGUCUAUGAUUGCCAUGUGAGUGUACAAAAAAAUCUGUGAAAGUAAAUUGACACACGUACCAAAAAAAUA